AGUGAACGCUGGCGGUAGGCCUAACACAUGCAAGUCGAACGGCAGCACAUUAAGAGCUUGCUCUUACGGGUGGCGAGUGGCGUAUUGGUGAGGAAUACAUCGAAAUCUACUUUUUCGUGGGUGAGAACGUCGGGAAACUUACGCUAAUACCGCAUACGACCUUCGGUUGAAAGCAGGGGAUCCUCGGACCUUGAGCGACUGAAUGAGCCGAUGUCGGAUUAGCUAGUUGGCGGGGUAAAGGCCCACCAAGGCGACGAUCCGUAGCUGGUCUGAGAGGAUGAUCAGCCACACUGGAACUGAGACACGGUCCAGACUCCUACGGGAGGCAGCAGUGGGGAAUAUUGGACAAUGGGCGCAAGCCUGAUCCAGCCAUACCGCGUGGGUGAAGAAGGCCUUCGGGUUGUAAAGCCCUUUUGUUGGGAAAGAAAAGCAGCAGGUUAAUACCCCGCUGUUAUGACGGUACCCAAAGAAUAAGCACCGGCUAACUUCGUG
rnacentral:rRNA from 1 species